rnacentral:rRNA from 1 species
UACGUAGGGUGCGAGCGUUGUCCGGAAUUAUUGGGCGUAAAGAGCUUGUAGGCGGUUUGUCGCGUCUGCCGUGAAAUUUCGAGACUCAACCUCGAACUUGCGGUGGGUACGGGCAGACUAGAGUGUGGUAGGGGGAGACUGGAAUUCCUGGUGUAGCGGUGAAAUGCGCAGAUAUCAGGAGGAACACCGAUGGCGAAGGCAGGUCUCUGGGGCCACUAACUGACGCUGAGAAGCGAAAGCAUGGGGAGCGAACAGGAUUAG